GGCCUAACACAUGCAAGUCGAACGCUCGUGGCAACACGGGAGUGGCGGACGGGUGAGUAACGCGUGGGAACGUGCCCUGAGGUUGGGAAUAACUGCGGGAAACUGCAGCUAAUACCUGAUGAGCCCGAGCAAUCGGGGAAAGAUUUAUCGCCUUGGGAGCGGCCCGCGUCGGAUUAGCUGGUUGGUGGGGUAACGGCCUACCAAGGCUUCGAUCCGUAGCUGGUCUGAGAGGACGAUCAGCCACACUGGGACUGAGACACGGCCCAGACUCCUACGGGAGGCAGCAGUGGGGAAUCUUGCGCAAUGGGGGCAACCCUGACGCAGCCAUGCCGCGUGAACGAUGAAGGCCUUAGGGUUGUAAAGUUCUUUUGCCCGUGACGAUGAUGACGGUAACGGGAGAAUAAGCUCCGGCUAACUUCGUGCCAGCAGCCGCGGUAAUACGAAGGGGGC
rnacentral:rRNA from 1 species